AGGUGAUGGUAUUUAGUUAGGGUUUUUAUUAACUCAGGAAAGUCCACCCACCAUAAAAAAGCAACUCUUUGUAAGAAGAGAAAGAGAAAUCUUUGGCUCUGGAUCAGAAACGACACGUCCUUAAGAAUGGAAUGAUAAUGGCGAAGUUUGUUGCGAAACAAACGAGUUUAACCCUUUGACGUCUCUUAAGGGACCGAUGAAACGACGAAACCUUGCUGGUGCAAGUUCGUUGAAACGCUUAGUAGAAUACUAAAACGAAGUAUCGGUAUGUUUUUACAUGCUUUGGCUUCGACAGAAGGUGGCUUAUUCCAUUCCU
rnacentral:RNase_P_RNA from 1 species